rnacentral:rRNA from 1 species
AGACGAUUGAAGAUGUCUUUCUGGUAUUAAACGUCCUUUCAGUCGUGAGGAAGGUUCAUACGGUUAAUGCGUAUGGAUUUAACAUAGUGAUCAUGAGAAGCACCGGCUAAUCCGUGCAGCAGCCGCGGUAUACGGAGGGUGCGAGCGUAAUGGGAUUACUGGGCGUAAGCGCAUGCAGGUGGUUGUUAGUCAGAUGGAAAGCCCGGGACUCAACCUCGGAAUUGCAUUUGAAACUGGCAUUCUAGAGUACUGUAGAGGGGGGUAGAAUUUCAGGUGUAGCGGUGAAAUGCGUAGAGAUCUGAAGGAAUACCGGUGGCGAAGGCGGCCCCCCUGGACAGAUACUGACACUCAGAUGCGAAAAGCGUGGGGAGCAAACAGGAUUAGAUACCCUGGUAGUCCACGCCGUAAACGAUGUCUACUUGGAGGUUGUGGCCUUGAGCCGUGGCUUUCGGAGCUAACGCGUUAAGUAGACCGCCUGGGGAGUACGGUCGCAAGAUUAAAACUCAAAUGAAUUGACGGGGGCCCGCACAAGCGGUGGAGCAUGUGGUUUAAUUCGAUGCAACGCGAAGAACCUUACCUACUCUUGACAUCCAGAGAAGCCAGUAGAGAUACAGGUGUGCCUUCGGGAGCUUUGAGACAGGUGCUGCAUGGCUGUCGUCAGCUCGUGUUGUGAAAUGUUGGGUUAAGUCCCGCAACGAGCGCAACCCUUAUCCUUGUUUGCCAGCGAGUAAUGUCGGGAACUCCAGGGAGACUGCCGGUGAUAAACCGGAGGAAGGUGGGGACGACGUCAAGUCAUCAUGGCCCUUACGAGUAGGGCUACACACGUGCUACAAUGGCGCAUACAGAGGGCAGCAAGCUAGCGAUAGUGAGCGAAUCCCAAAAAGUGCGUCGUAGUCCGGAUUGGAGUCUGCAACUCGACUCCAUGAAGUCGGAAUCGCUAGUAAUCGUGGAUCAGAAUGCCACGGUGAAUACGUUCCCGGGCCUUGUACACACCGCCCGUCACACCAUGGGAGUGGGCUGCAAAAGAAGUGGGUAGUUUAACCUUUCGGGGAGGACGCUCACCACUUUUAAGCCGGCCUUUUGGU